GAAUAAUUCAUCUCUUUCCUAAAUUUUUAACUCACUAUCAAUCCAUUUCUAUAAUCCAAGAUGAGGAAAUCCGUUCAACUCUUGUCUACGUUCUUAAUCGUCUUCAUUAUUCUCUCACUAGGAAUGAUGGCAGAUGCGAAAAAACAGUGUCCAUAUAAAAUUCCAAUUAGUAAAAAGUUAUCGUAUUGUGCUGCAACACUAUGUUUGGCUGAUUGUAAGAAGCAACAUGGAGCUGAUGCUAGUGGUAGUUGUUCCGAAGAAAAGGGAUUUUGUAACUGCGUUGCUAACUGUAAGGGUUCUCGCUAAGUGUUGUGAAUAUAAUAAUAUCCAACCAAAGUUUUAUACUAUAUUAUUACUAAUAAAUAUCUAAAUGUUAAAAUGUCUGUCUCA